rnacentral:lncRNA from 1 species
UUUUGGAUUUGAAUAAUUUGAAUCCGGAUUCAAAAAGGAAUAGUAAAUCUUAAGUUGAACCCCAAGAAAUUUUAAUUUUUAGAUCCGAAUCUGAUUCCGAAAUUGAUAGUAAAAUUUUAGACUAAAUCCGGUAAUCUCUGACUUCAGAGUCCGGACGGAUUGAAUAAUACCGGAACGGCUUCCACUCCAAGAUAUGUAUAACUAUAAAUUUUGAUUGCCCCAAAAAAAAGAAAAAAAAAAUAUAAGACCACUGCAGCAGCACUGCACCACAGUUCGAAAUUGCCUUUUUUAAUUAGCAUUGAUUUUCUUAAUUGCCAUAAAAAAAUUAUUUUCUUAAUUUACACCUCUUUAUACUAUCAUUUUUCUUUUUUUCUUUUAAAGUUAGACCCAUAGGUGAAAAGUAUAUAAAUUUUUAUUAUACCUAAUUAUUCAAAAUCUAUAUAAAUUAGAGAGGCCACUGGAAUCUUUUUUCAAAACCACAUUGCUGUCAUAAACCAGAAUAAAAANUAUCGAAACGGUUUUCACCCUAAGGUAUUAUUCUAAGAUGCUAUUAUAUGUGAAGAAUUGAUAUUUAUAAAUUUUGAUUGCCUUAAAAAAAGAAAAAAAAAAGGUAUGGAGACCACUGCAGCACUGCACCACAGUUCGAAAUUGCCUUUUUUAAUUAGCAUUGACUUUCUUAAUUGCCAUAAAAAAAUUAUUUUCUUAAUUUACACCUCUUUAUACUAUCAUUUUUC